GUGAAGCUCUGAACAGCAUGCCUAGGGCCUCCAAGCAGUAAGGACUGAAUCCUGGACAGGUUGCGCAUCCAGCCUUUGCUGCCCGUUGUCAGCAUCCUUAUGGGGAACGCUGUGCUACCUUUCCUCUGCCACUCCAAAUUCCUGCACACACGUGGGCCUUUUCCUCUCUCCUCUGACAUUGCAAUCACAUGCCUCCAGUGAUUUUAUUUACUGUCUCUGGGUCUCCUCAGGAGUUCCUAUUUAUUCUGAACAGCUACAAUAUUUCUAUUCAUGAUUGCUUUCACCACAUGAUUAUCAAAUGGGAAAACAUCUGUAACAUUACAGGUUUCCUUCCCCUCUUAAUUAUGGGCUUAGCAAUCAGACGAACUUCAAUAUUUAAUAUCGAAGCAAAACGCUUAAUGAUUACAAAGUGAUGUUCCAUUUUUGAUGUAAAGCCAGAGUUAAAGUGAACUCUAAGCAAACCAACUCUGCUUGCUGACAUACGGAAGAAAGAAUGCAUUUAAACUCAUUACAGAUUAUCUACAGAACCAUUUUGUGCCUCAGCUCUGAUCCCCACUGUGCUUUUUUUUUUAAGAUUUUUUUUUUUGAUGUGGACCAUUUUUAGUCUUUAUAUUUGUUACAAUAUUGCUUCUGGAGGGACCUUCAAGAUGGCGGAGGAGUAAGACCUGGAGAUGACCUUUCUCCCCCCAAAUACAUCAAAAAUACAACUACAUGUGGAACAACUCCUACAGAACACCUACUGAACACUGGCAGAAGACCUCAGACUUCCCCAAAGGCAAGAAACUCCCCCACGUACCUGGUACACAGGCCUCUCACUGUUGUGGCCUCUCCCGUUGUGGAGCACAGGCUCUGGACACGCAGGCUCAGUGGCCAUGGUUCACGGGCCCAGCCGCUCCACAGUAUGUGGGAUCUUCCCAGACCGGGGCACGAACCCGUGUUCCCUGCAUCGGCAGGCGGACUCUCAACCACUGCGCGACCAGGGAAGCCCCAGCUUUCAUUUGAUUUUCAUUUGCAUGGAAUAUCUUUUUCCAUCCCCUCACUUUCAGUCUGUUUGUGUCCCUAGGUCUGAAGUGGAUCUCCUGUACACAGCAUAUAUACCGGUCUUGUUUUUGUAUCCAUUCACCUGGUCUAUGUCUUUUGGUUGGAGCAUUUAAUCCAUUUUCAUUUAAGCCACAAGGCGUGUGGGAUCUUAGCUCCCCGACCAGGGAUUGCAACUGCACCCCCUGCAUUGGAAGGCGAAGUCUUAACCACUGGACCGCUAGGGAAGUCCCACCACACUUCACUUUUUGCUCAUGAAUUAUCCAGGAGAUUUAAGUGAUGAAGGAUGAAGGGUCAGGACUGGUCCUGCUGAAGACAUGACCUUUGAACUUGGAUGUCAACUAUAAGAGCAGCCACCAAAGAUAUGUGGACAGGAGACUGUAAUGGAGGGUACAAGGAGCAGAAUGUUUAAAAUGGAACUAAAACUUGGAGUUUAAAUAUGAUAAAAAAUACAGACUUAUGAAGAUGGAUAGAAAAGAAAAGCCUGACAUUUCAUAAAAGUAGCCAGUCAAAGGAGGAUCAUCCGGCAGAUUUAUCUUGCAAGAGCUGUUCUAGGUGCUCAGCUUUCUUCUUGGGACACUUGGCUAGUCUAUCAUUGUACAACUUAGUACAGGGGCUUCUUCUACCUGGUUAUGAUGUGUGACCCUCAGUCUCCAUGAGUCCUUCCUUCCUUUUCAUAGUAUAAGUUUCUACACUUUUCUGUAACCCUGGUUUAUUCCCAAUGCCUUAUAGCCAUCCUCCGUUAUUUGUGCUAGAAGAGAAAAUAGUUAUCUACACCGUAUAGUAACGUUUAUACUUAAGAGAGAAAACAGAACCACCAUACGCAUUGACAAAAGUAUGCAAACAGUAAACAGUUAGAUGGGCCUCAGAGGUCUCAUCUGCUACAUGAAAGGCUGGAUGAAGACAGAGCAAUACGUAUAAAACCAUCGUGAGGAUAACGUCCGGAGCCCAGAAUCUCGUGCUCAGCCGAAUCGCUGUUCGUGUCUAAGAACAGUCUCUGUCACACAACUUCCUAAGAAAAACUUCCUAAUGUAAUUCAUUUGACCAAAAAGCAAACAAAAAUUUAAGAAUCUCCAAAUGGGGAAUGUCAUGUAACCUAUGAACUAGUUAAACAGAGUUAAAUCUCAAUAACUUUGGAAAUGUGGUUACAUGUUGUAAAGCAAAAUGUAAACAUAAAAAAUUCUUCCCAAGGAAGAAACACGGUACAAAAUGUAAUCUUUGGUCCCACACCCGAGAUGAGGUUAGCAGAGACUGGGAGUUCCUGGGGUGCAGAUGCAAUGACAGGCCAUAAAUUCCUCACUUUAUCCAUGGGGAGCCAAGAGAUACCAUUUCACUCUUGAACUUUCAUAACCAGAAAAACUUAGGGGUGCAUUCUUGGAUCUUGUCUAUUUCUUUUGCUCAUUAGUAAUAAGA